AUGCGUUUGAUAUUGUCGUGGUUGAUAAUUUGCCACAACAAGAGGAUAGUGAUUGUGGUGUUUUUAUCAUAAAGUAUGCUCAUUUCUUCAUGCAUGGAUUGAUUGAUAAGAUUCCUAAGAAGUUGGACAUUGCAUUCACUCGGAAGAAGUUGUGUGUUGAUCUGUUUGUUCAUGCAAAGAAGAAGGAGUUGGGUGGGUACGAGUCUACUUCGGAGCAUCCAGGAAGGAUGCCAUAGUUUUAUGUAAUAGAACAACAUGUUGGAAACCUAGUUUACAUUUUUUUGAACUUUAUGUGUAUUUUUAUGUCAUGUUGUUUUGUUUUUAGGUUUAUGUUUGUGUUUGUUUAAGAAACUGUUUGGAACAGUAAUAUUUUAGGAGACUCUUGCCUAUUUUAAUUUUGAAGUAACCUUUUGGUUUACUGGCACA